UACAGAGGGUGCAAGCGUUGUCCGGAAUCAUUGGGCGUAAAGAGCGCGCAGGCGGCUUGGCAAGUCGGGUGUGAAAUCCCGGGGCUCAACCCCGGGACUGCAUUCGAUACUGUCAGGCUAGAGAUAGGUAGGGGAGAUCGGAAUUCCUGGUGUAGCGGUGAAAUGCGCAGAUAUCAGGAAGAACACCGAUGGCGAAAGCAGCUCUCUGGGACGGUACUGACGCUGAGGCGCGAAAGCGUGGGGAGCGAACAGG
rnacentral:rRNA from 1 species